CUUAGUAUUGAUAAUCAAGAAAGAGGAAAGAUUGAUGCAGUUGACAAGAGUUGGUAUUCCUCUAAAUCUCUUACGGCCAGUAAUGCGUGGAUCGAAUGAAAGCCGUGGGGAGACGAUCACGUUUAACGUGCUGUUGUGACUCAAUAAAGAUUUUGCCAAACCUUACCUCUGCUGGGGGGAAAUGAAAAGACUUUUCCUGACAGUUAGGAACGUAUUUCUUAUAAUAGUAACAAACGUCAAAACAAACCUUUUGCUUCAGUGAACAGAAUGCAUCAAAACAAUACUGAGUUGGAACAAUUGAAAUGCAAUAUCACUACAACCAAUGUUCUAAAUAAACAAUCAUCAAAACAACCUUAUCUUGGAACAAUAGAAGUGCACUAUCACAACAAUAACAACCCAAAUAGUUAUUUACUAGUAAACAACUAACAUCGCAAUAGUAUAAGUAGCACUUAGAUUUAUGGAAACAAACCUAAACAAAGAAGAUAUGGUAUUAUAUCUAAACAAAUUAACAACUAAUAAUAAGCAAACAUACUAGUUAGUAUAAAUAGAAAUAAUAACGAUGUAAUAAGUUAGUCUUAAGAGUAUAAAUAAAGAGUACACAUUUUGGUGCAGCUCAAAAUAUAUUCUUUUGACUCAUUUUUACUUAAUGUAAAAAUUAACUGAGGGCUCAACCGGGAUGGCAAAUUUAUUUGCUGUUCAAAAAGCCAGAUUUUAUUCCGAAAGGCAUAAAUCAAAAAAUUCCACAGGAAGUAGGACUUCCAGCACUAAAUGCCGUAAAAAAAUGCAGAAAUAAACGACAAUGAAUAAAAGUCCUGUAACAGCGGACAAUAUUUCCAGAAUGAAUCAAAGCAGAUCCUGAAAAAACUGAAAGCGGCGAAUUCAGCAAGAUUCACAACUAACCCAAGCAUAACUACAUACCAAAUUAAAGGACGAAGAAAAGAGUAAAAGAAUAUCAACAAAGAAAUCUUUUGGAUCAAUCUCAUCAACGACAACCUCCAUCAGUCCUAAUGGACGUGGCUCGACUUUGUCAAACAAAAAUUUCAGCAAUGAAUCAUCGCCUCGAAUAACGUGUUUUUAGACAUUGAGCUGCGUCCCAAAGUCAGUAGUGAGUUGGAAAACGUUUUAAGUCCUGGUGAUCAUGGCAAAUUUAGAGGUGUUGAGCAUCAUUCAAAAGUGCAAUAAAGGAAAAAAAAACGUUAAAUAAAUUAUGAAAAUUGGAAAGAUAUAAGUAAUAAGAGGCUGAGAAAUAGUGGAGAAGCAUUUUCAGGAAGAAAUGGAAAAGCUGUACAUAAAAAAAAUGCUCCAGAAACGGUAAUGUGGAAAAACGUUGUAAGUGUAAGCUGUGUCAAUAUCAGUUUUGUUUUUUUUUACGUUCUUUAAUCGAAUUGAAAGAACCGCAAAGAAGAAGAGUUUCAGAGGGCACAUCACGUCGAAAUGCAACUGUGAAUUAUUUUCUACCACAGCACAAUGAGAGAAACGUGAGAGUGUGCAAACAAAUGAUUUGUCAUACCUUUCAAGUGACACAACGAAGAUUUAAAAUAUUAGUUGAAAAACUGAAGGCGGGAGAUAGUUUGAGUGAUCAGCGUGGACGACAUGAUAAUCGGCCGAAUAAAAUCGUUAAUGCCGAAAAGAAAAGUGUCAUAGAACACAUAGAAAGCUUUCCUGGUCAAGAAAGUCACUACAGUCGUUCUAGUUCAAAAAAAAAAAAAAAAAAAUUUCCUCCAUCCAGAUUUAACUAUUACAAAAAUGAUUAAAUUAUUCAAGGAAAAAUAUCCAGAUAGCACUAUGAGUUAUAAUACAUACAGAGAUAUAUUUAACGCAGAAUUCAGUUUGCGGUUUGGAUUACCAAAGUCCCACACUUGUCAGCUCUGCGAUAAAUAUUAUAUAGAAACGACUGCCGCUGGCAGAGGCACAUCACAAAAAGGCUGAAAAAGCAUAUUCUAAGCUGAGUGAUGACACAAAGUCAGCUUUAGGCAGUUCCCAUAUUGUUGCGAUUUGCGUUGACUUACAGCAAGUGAUUUAUACUCCAAAUCUCACACAUACGGACGUCUUUAAUCAGCGGCAGUAUUCGAAUUACAACUUCGCUAUAAAUAAUUUGGGGCAAAAUACUGUUGACAUGUAUACUUGGCAUGAAACAGUUGCAAAAAGGGGUGUAGCUGAAAUCGCUUCAUAUAUUUUAAGACACAUCACUUCCACCUACGCUAUUUUAAAGGCUGGAGAUGUGAGAAAUUUAAUUAUUUGGUCCAACAGAUGUGUGGGUCAAAAUAAUAAUUGGACCAUGAUCGCCUUAAUUUACCUUAUAAUAAAAAUGAAAUACUUU
rnacentral:misc_RNA from 1 species